rnacentral:rRNA from 1 species
UACGUAGGGGGCAAGCGUUGUCCGGAUUUAUUGAGCGUAAAGCGCUUGUAGGCGGUCCACCAAGUUUGGGGUGACAGUUGCCGACUUAAUCGGCAAAGUGCCUCAAAGACUGGCGGACUUGAGGGCCACAGAGGGACAUGGAACUCCAGGUGUAGUGGUGAAAUGCGUAGAUAUCUGGAAGAACACCAAAGGCGAAGGCAGUGUCCUGGGUGGUCGCUGACGCUGAGAGGCGAAAGCCAGGGGAGCGAACGGG